UACGGAGGGUGCAAGCGUUAUCCGGAUUUACUGGGUUUAAAGGGUGUGUAGGCGGGCUAUUAAGUCAGUGGUGAAAUCUCCGGGCUCAACUUGGAAACUGCCAUUGAUACUAUUAGUCUUGAAUUCUGUUGAGGUGGGCGGAAUAAAUCAUGUAGCGGUGAAAUGCAUAGAUAUGAUUUAGAACACCGAUUGCGAAGGCAGCUCACUAAACAGAGAUUGACGCUGAGGCACGAAAGCGUGGGGAUCAAACAGG
rnacentral:rRNA from 1 species